CCCCAGCAUGGCCAGGUGACAGCAAGUCCCACCUGCGGGAACAGCCCAGGAAAGCCAAAGGGCACUGAAACUGAGGUGUGAGGCAAGCACCAGUCUUGGCCCUACCUUCUCUUGGAAUUUCUCUGAGCUGAACACUGCUGGGACUAGGAGUGUCCUUAGGGAGUUUGACCCUUCAUGGUACCAGCUGUGUAAUAAAGAUGAGGGAAUUAUAUCUCACAUGGCAGACCCUUGUGUCUUUGUGUGGUGCUGCACAACUGCUGGGUCACAGGAGUUACCACCAGGUUUUCAUCAUGAGAAAUGAAAUAUGAAUAUAUCUUCGCCAGAAACAAAGGAACCUAUUCCACAAAAAAUGACAGUAUUCUGUCCCUCUCCAAGAGGACUGGCAGCAGCUCCAGACUGCAAGAGACUCAGAUACCAAGCUUUCCCACAGCAUGGAUUUCUUUGUCACAGUGAUGUGUACCCAGGCCAGUGAACUGCAUGGGCUGCUCUUCUGCACAGCAAAUAACUGUGCUGGGAGAAUCAUUCAUUUUCCACGCAACGCCUCUGCUGUGAGGGCCAUUUUUCAGCUUGGCAGAAGGGUGGCACCUGCCUUGUUUUUCAUUUGGCUUGAGAACUACUUCUUCUUCUGUCGAACUACUAUACCUGCAUUUUUUGACAGGAAAUACCUGAGAAGCUGCUGGACUCACCUGCCCCCCUUUCAGCACCCACGCAUGGUGGGAUGCCAGCAUGGGCUGUGACUUUUGUGUGUGGUCCCUCUUCUAAAGAUUUAUUUGGUUUUUAAAUGGGUUUGUAGUCAAAUGAAAUAGUAACACCCUUUCAAGGAGACAUACAAAGGCUCAGGAGAAUGAUGCUACAUGAACUGACUUCCAGACCUUUCUCAUUUGUAAGCACAUUCUGUCUGGUGCCCUUAUGUGGCAAUUGUAAUUAGAAAACAUCUUGAGUCAGAGCACACCUUUGUGUCUUUAUUGGUACUUCUCUUUGUCUCAGGAGCUAAGAGUUUUAAAAUGUUGAGGAACAGCACUUACUAACAUUGUUCAUUUUGAUGCUGGCCCUAGCCCCUAAGGCAGGCCAGUGGAGGUGUGCUGGGUUGUGAGCUGAAAAGCAGCAUGCAAUGCUGACAAAUAGAUGUUUUUCUUUGCUUAAGAUUGGACCUUGUGUAAAGCAAAGCAAUAUUAAAAUACAUGUUGCCAGCUUGUGACAGGGAAGGAAAUCCUUCUCAAAUUGGCAGGGUUUUUUUAUCAAUUCCCCAUAAUUCUCCAUUGUUGUUACAGGGAGAGAAAGCAUUGGAGCAGGACAAUGUGUGUUUGGAAACUGAAAGUAUCUUAGCAGAUCUUGUAGGAUUUGAAUUGAAGCUCUGGUGAGAAGUGAGGUGGUUCUCUGCCACGGAGGCAAGAAAAAGACCUGUUAAGAACUUCAUGGUACAUUAGGUCAUUUAUACUUCAUAGAUUUAUUGGCUUUGCACUUUGUCUGC